AACGCGAAGAACCUUACCAGGAUUUGACAUGCCCUCUAUGAAUUCUUGAAAGAGAAUUCUUCACUUCGGGUGGGAGGGACACAGGUGCUGCAUGGCUGUCGUCAGCUCGUGUCGUGAGAUGUUGGGUUAAGUCCCGCAACGAGCGCAACCCUCGUCCUCUGUUGCUAACGCGUAAUGGCGAGAACUCUGAGGAAACUGCCGGUGAUAAGCCGGAGGAAGGUGGGGAUGACGUCAAGUCCUCAUGGCCCUUACAUCCUGGGCUACACACGUGUUACAAUGGCGGUGACAAUGAGCUGCUAGCCCGCAAGGGUAUGCGAAUCUCAAAAAGCCGCCUCAGUUUGGAUUGUACUCUGCAACUCGAGUACAUGAAAUUGGAAUCGCUAGUAAUCGCGGAUCAGCACGCCGCGGUGAAUACGUUCCCGGGCCUUGUACACACCGCUCGCGA
rnacentral:rRNA from 1 species